UAGGGAAUCUUCCGCAAUGGGCGAAAGCUUGACGGAGCAACGCCGCGUGAGUGAUAAAGGUCUUCGGAUCGUAAAACUCUGUUAUUAGGGAAGAACAAAUGUGUAAGUAACUAUGCACGUCUUGACGGUACCUAAUCAGAAAGCCACGGCUAACUACGUGCCAGCAGCCGCGGUAAUACGUAGGUGGCAAGCGUUAUCCGGAAUUAUUGGGCGUAAAGCGCGCGUAGGCGGUUUUUUAAGUCUGAUGUGAAAGCCCACGGCUCAACCGUGGAGGGUCAUUGGAAACUGGAAAACUUGAGUGCAGAAGAGGAAAGUGGAAUUCCAUGUGUAGCAGUGAAAUGCGCAGAGAUAUGGAGGAACACCAGUGGCGAAGGCGACUUUCUGGUCUGUAACUGACGCUGAUGUGCGAAAGCGUGGGGAUCAAACAGG
rnacentral:rRNA from 1 species